rnacentral:ncRNA from 1 species
GUCCACUCAAGGUUUAUAGGGAAGUAUUUAGUUAAAUUACUUAUUUAGUAAUUAAGUUACUUUUCAGACACAGUAAUUAGAUAAGUAUUUUAAAUACAAUAUUGAUUGAUAUUGAAGUAAUUAGUAAUUAAUUACUAAUUAGGAACUUACCCAACACUGUAUACAUAUAUGAAUACCGCAGCUAGGAAUAAUGGAAUAGGACUCCGGUUCUAUUUUGUGGGUUUUCUCUCUGAACUGGGGCCAUGAUUAAGAGGGACGGCCGGGGGCAUUCGUAUUGUGCUGCUAGAGGUGAAAUUCUUGGUCCGGCGGGGACUGGUGAGUGUCAGCACCACAGUCCAGGAUGAGACAACGAACA